UACGUAGGGUGCGAGCGUUUGUCCGGAAUUAUUGGGCGUAAAGAGCUUGUAGGCGGUUUGUCGCGUCUGCUGUGAAAUUUCGGGGCUCAACCCCGAACUUGCAGUGGGUACGGGCAGACUAGAGUGUGGUAGGGGAGACUGGAAUUCCUGGUGUAGCGGUGAAAUGCGCAGAUAUCAGGAGGAACACCGGUGGCGAAGGCGGGUCUCUGGGCCGAUACUGACGCUGAGGAGCGAAAGCGUGGGGAGCGAACAGG
rnacentral:rRNA from 1 species